ACUCCCAAACUUAUACUACUAUCGUAGCAUCACAUUCGCAAACAAUAAUUCGUUCGAAAACUCAGCGUCACAUGGAAAUCGUACUAGAUCGGAUCAGGGUAACACUGCGAGAGGUUCUUCAGGAAACUCAGCCUCCGGUGAAUGUCAGUCUAACUCUCAAAAUAUAUUAUCUUCAGGAUCAUACUUUUUUCCCAUCGGGAUUGCCCAGACUUUCAUAGCUCAAUAAUUAGACACCCUUACCUCUCGAUAGAGAUGAAAUGGUACCUGAUGUAAACGUAGCACCAUUUAUCCAAAACUAUUUAUAAAAAACCACCUCUGCACGUCACUCCCUACCAUUCUCUCAUCAUCGAUAAUUUUAGAAAUUUCUCUUAAUACAACUGUUAUGAAUCUGUCAUAAAUUCUUAUUUCUAGAUCCUCCAUCUCGUCGAAACCCUCCAGCACGAACUCGUUCGGUCGCUCUUUGUUUGGUCCCUUCAUUUUGCAAACUGAUGCUGUAGCACGGACGUAGUCUGCAGAUCAAUUUUUUAAUUCUUCUUCUAGCACAGCUUACAUUCUCGAGUAUCUCCUAUGAGUGAUUCGGCAUCCACUGCGACAGUCGACCGUCUCGAUGCACGUGUGUGCGUGCGUUAUGACGUUCGAGUGAGGGCGCAGAGCCUAAAGCUCAUUCUUCUAGGAGCUCUCAGAGAAUGAACACGCAUCUCUAAAAAUGGUCGAUUCACGAAUUCUUCUAAUUGUUCACGGGGUAUAUUAACAUCCAAAAAAUAAUAGGCCUCGGUGAAGUUUGGCGACGACGUCAGGAAAAAGGUUGGAAACUUCUUGAAUAGGAAGAGUGGGAAGUCGAAGAUAUCUUCUCCAUGAGAGUUCUCGCCGGUCUUCCUCCUUAUUAGGAUGAAGAUGGGCGUUGGUGGUGGGAAGUUUCGACGAAAUUCGACGGAAUCGAUUACCAUCGAUAGGCUCAAAUCAAGCCGUUAUAAAAAUUUUAGCGCUCAAUACUAUCUCAAUGCUGGACCAAUUGUGAAACCUUAAAUGGGUCGCUGAACUGUUCUGCGCACUACAAAAGCUGGCACGGAAAUAUUAGAUUAUUUCAUUUUCUUUCAAUGGUUUUGACUUUUGCCAGUAGCACGUCAGACUCUAGCAUUGACCGUUACUUAUAACUCUUGUUCUUUUCAGUUGUUUCGUUCCUACUGCUACGCUCCCAGGCUCGACACGGAAACGAUAACAAAUUGGACAAAUGAUUAAUAUCAAUCGCAGUUGAUUACGAAUAAAUGACCUUGAGACAUUUCGCUGAUUAAUCGUACCUGGCGACAGGUAGAGUGAGAAAACAAAAUGGAAAAAAAUGAAAAAUGAGCACGGAAAAGGAAAGGGAAGAAGUGAAUUUCGGUCAGUUGGUGUUUUGCUCAAAGAAUGGAUUCGUUAUUACUUAUAACGAAAACUCGAGCUUAUUGGUAAUACAGCUCCACUUCUAAUGAAAAAUGAUGACAUGGAGGAAUUAUUGGUGGGAAACUGUGAAAUACGACAUCCAUCGGAUUCAAUUUUAUUUCACCCAAUUCUCAAAAUCUAAUAAUAUGUCAACUGUUAUGUCAUAUCAGAAUUAUAUUAGCUGCCUUUAUCUUAGGAAUCCUACUUCACGAAGAAAAUAAAGAUGAACAAAAUAGAUAGAAAA